rnacentral:rRNA from 1 species
GGACGAACGCUGGCGGCGCGCUUAACACAUGCAAGUCGAACGUGAAGCCUGGAGCUUGCUCCGGGUGGAAAGUGGCGAACGGGUGAGGAACACGUGAGAAACCUGCCCUGAAGACCGGGACAACCAUUGGAAACGAUGGCUAAUACCGGAUGUCUUCAUCGGAUCGCAUGAUCUGAUGAAGAAAUGGAUUCCGCUUCAGGAUGGUCUCGCGGCCUAUCAGCUUGUUGGUGGGGUAAUGGCCUACCAAGGCAUCGACGGGUAGCUGGUCUGAGAGGAUGUCCAGCCACACUGGGACUGAGACACGGUCCAGACUCCUACGGGAGGCAGCAGUGGGGAAUAUUGCACAAUGGAGGGAACUCUGAUGCAGCGACGCCGCGUGAGUGAAGAAGGUCUUCGGAUCGUAAAACUCUGUCCUUGGUGAAGAAAAGGACGGUAGCCAAGGAGGAAGCCCCGGCUAACUACGUGCCAGCAGCCGCGGUAAUACGUAGGGGGCGAGCGUUGUCCGGAUUUACUGGGCGUAAAGGGUGAGUAGGCGGUUAUAUAUGUCAGGUGUAAAAAGCUAUGGCUUAACCAUAGUAAGCACUUGAAACUGUAUGACUUGAGUGCAGGAGAGGUAAGCGGAAUUCCUAGUGUAGCGGUGAAAUGCGUAGAUAUUAGGAGGAACACCGGUGGCGAAGGCGGCUUACUGGACUGUAACUGACGCUGAGUCACGAAAGCGUGGGUAGCAAACAGGAUUAGAUACCCUGGUAGUCCACGCUGUAAACGAUGAGUGCUAGGUGUUGGGUAGCGAUAUUCAGUGCCGGAGUAAACACAAUAAGCACUCCGCCUGGGGAGUACGGUCGCAAGACUGAAACUCAAAGGAAUUGACGGGGACCCGCACAAGCAGCGGAGCAUGUGGUUUAAUUCGAAGCAACGCGAAGAACCUUACCAAGGCUUGACAUCCCCUUGACAGAUGCAGAGAUGUAUCCUCCUCUUUUGAGGCAAGGGAGACAGGUGGUGCAUGGUUGUCGUCAGCUCGUGUCGUGAGAUGUUGGGUUAAGUCCCGCAACGAGCGCAACCCUUAUCCUUAGUUGCCAGCAUUUAAGGUGGGCACUCUAAGGAGACUGCCGGUGAUAAACCGGAGGAAGGUGGGGAUGACGUCAAAUCAUCAUGCCCCUUAUGUCUUGGGCUACACACGUGCUACAAUGGUCGGUACAACGGGCAGCUAUGGAGCGAUCCGGAGCAAAUCCCAAUAAACCGAUCCCAGUUCGGAUUGCAGGCUGCAACUCGCCUGCAUGAAGUCGGAGUUGCUAGUAAUCGCGAAUCAGAACGUCGCGGUGAAUGCGUUCCCGGGUCU